GAAGGUCCUUAGUAGUCCGCCCCUUCGGGGAGCGGGCUGCUGGCCUCCUAUGUUCCUAACGGUCCUCAUCCGCGAGGGUGGGGAAUCAACCGCUAGGAUCGUUUACUUUGAGGAAAUUAGAGUGUUCAAAGCAGGCGUAACUCGCCUCCGAAUACGUUAGCAUGGGAUAAUGGAAUACGACUUCGGUCUUGUUUCGUUGGUUUCGCUUGGCUGAAGUA
rnacentral:rRNA from 1 species